rnacentral:tRNA from 1 species
UGGGGUGUAGCUCAGUGGUAGAGCACUUGCCUAGCAUGUGAGAGGCUGUGGGUUUGAACCCCAGAGCCACAU